rnacentral:rRNA from 1 species
AGAGUUUCAUUCUGGCUCAGGAUGAACGCUGGCGGCGUGCCUAACACAUGCAAGUCGAACGGACUUAUAACGAAACCUAGUGAAUUAUAAGUUAGUGGCGGACGGGUGAGUAACGCGUGGAAAACCUGCCGUAUACUGGGGGAUAACACUUAGAAAUAGGUGCUAAUACCGCAUAAGCGCACAGCUUCGCAUGAAGCAGUGUGAAAAACUCCGGUGGUAUACGAUGGUUCCGCGUCUGAUUAGCUAGUUGGUGAGGUAAAAGCCCACCAAGGCAACGAUCAGUAGCCGGCCUGAGAGGGUGAACGGCCACAUUGGGACUGAGACACGGCCCAGACUCCUACGGGAGGCAGCAGUGGGGGAUAUUGCACAAUGGGGGAAACCCUGAUGCAGCGACGCCGCGUGAGUGAAGAAGUAUUUCGGUACGUAAAGCUCUAUCAGCAGGGAAGAAAAAAAGUCCACAGGACUUUGGACGGUACCUGACUAAGAAGCCCCGGCUAACUACGUGCCAGCAGCCGCGGUAAUACGUAGGGGGCAAGCGUUAUCCGGAUUUACUGGGUGUAAAGGGAGCGUAGACGGCUGUGCAAGUCUGAAGUGAAAUGCCGGGGCCCAACCCCGGAACUGCUUUGGAAACUGUACAGCUAGAGUGCAGGAGGGGUGAGCGGAAUUCCUAGUGUAGCGGUGAAAUGCGUAGAUAUUAGGAGGAACACCGGUGGCGAAGGCGGCUCACUGGACUGUAACUGACGUUGAGGCUCGAAAGCGUGGGGAGCACACAGAAAUUAGAUACCCUGGUAGUCCACGCCGUAA